GAUGAACGCUGGCGGCGUGCCUAAUACAUGCCAGUCGAGCGAACAGACGAGGAGCUUGCUCCUCUGACGUUAGCGGCGGACGGGUGAGUAACACGUGGAUAACCUACCUAUAAGACUGGGAUAACUUCGGGAAACCGGAGCUAAUACCGGAUAAUAUAUUGAACCGCAUGGUUCAAUAGUGAAAGACGGUUUUGCUGUCACUUAUAGAUGGAUCCGCGCCGCAUUAGCUAGUUGGUAAGGUAACGGCUUACCAAGGCAACGAUGCGUAGCCGACCUGAGAGGGUGAUCGGCCACACUGGAACUGAGACACGGUCCAGACUCCUACGGGAUGCAGCAGUAGGGAAUCUUCCGCAAUGGGCGAAAGCUUGACGGAGCAACGCCGCGUGAGUGAUGAAGGUCUUCGGAUCGUAAAACUCUGUUAUUAGGGAAGAACAAAUGUGUAAGUAACUAUGCACGUCUUGACGGUACCUAAUCAGAAAGCCACGGCUAACUACGUG
rnacentral:rRNA from 1 species